rfam:Hordeum vulgare subsp. vulgare, WGS project CAJW01000000 data, contig: morex_contig_37924
GCCACUCGAUGACGACGAGGUAAUCUCCUACAUCGUGGCUGGCCUCGACAUGGAGUACCAGCCUCUCGUCUCCUCCCUCGACGCACGCGUCGAACCUGUCACCCUUGAUGAACCGUUUUCUCAGAUGAUCAACUUCGGUC